GACGAACGCUGGCGGCGUGCUUAACACAUGCAAGUCGAACGGAAAGGCCCUGCUUUUGUGGGGUGCUCGAGUGGCGAACGGGUGAGUAACACGUGAGUAACCUGCCCUUGACUUUGGGAUAACUUCAGGAAACUGGGGCUAAUACCGGAUAGGAGCUCCUGCUGCAUGGUGGGGGUUGGAAAGUUUCGGCGGUUGGGGAUGGACUGCCGGCUUUUCAGCUUGUUGGUGGGGUAGUGGCUUACCAAGGCUUUGACGGGUAGCCGGCCUGAGAGGGUGACCGGCCACAUUGGGACUGAGAUACGGCCCAGACUCCUACGGGAGGCAGCAGUGGGGAAUAUUGCACAAUGGGCGGAAGCCUGAUGCAGCAACGCCGCGUGCGGGAUGACGGCCUUCGGGUUGUAAACCGCUUUCGCCUGUGACGAAGCGUGAGUGACGGUAAUGGGUAAAGAAGCACCGGCUAACUACGUG
rnacentral:rRNA from 1 species